UGCUUCUGACAUAGCAGUAUAUUCUGCGAA
rnacentral:piRNA from 1 species